UAUGUUUAUGUGAAUGGAACCCUCUACUU
rnacentral:piRNA from 1 species